rnacentral:rRNA from 1 species
GACGAACGCUGGCGGCGUGCUUAACACAUGCAAGUCGAACGGAAAGGCCCUGCUUGCAGGGUACUCGAGUGGCGAACGGGUGAGUAACACGUGGGUGAUCUGCCCUGCACUUCGGGAUAAGCUUGGGAAACUGGGUCUAAUACCGGAUAGGAGCCAUCUUUAGUGUGGUGGUUGGAAAGUUUUUUCGGUGUAGGAUGAGCUCGCGGCCUAUCAGCUUGUUGGUGGGGUAAUGGCCUACCAAGGCGGCGACGGGUAGCCGGCCUGAGAGGGUGUACGGCCACAUUGGGACUGGGAUACGGCCCAGACUCCUACGGGGGGCAGCAGUGGGGAAUAUUGCACAAUGGGCGCAAGCCUGAUGCAGCGACGCCGCGUGGGGGAUGAAGGCCUUCGGGUUGUAAACUCCUUUCGCUAGGGACGAAGCUUUUUUGUGACGGUACCUAGAUAAGAAGCACCGGCUAACUACGUG